UGGUGGAGCGAUUUGUCUGGUUAAUUCCGAUAACGAACGAGACUCUGGCCUAUUAAAUAGUUCGCCGAUUCCGAUCUGUCGGCGUUAACUUCUUAGAGGGACAAGUGGCUUUUAGCCACGCGAGAUUGAGCAAUAGCA
rnacentral:rRNA from 1 species